AGUCGAGCUGCGCGCGCAGCGCUCGAGCCGCCGAGCUCGCGAUUCCCCACGCCUCCCCUUCCUCUUACUAGUGGCGCGCGCGCGCGUUAAGCCUGACACUGACUGUGUCAUUGGAGGAGCCUGUUCCUACAUCAGGUCUUACUGAGUGUGUCUGUCCAAGGCAGAGGGAUUUAUGAUGGUUGAUCUCGGGGGAGUCACUAUCGCCCAGGGCCAGGCCUGCAGUAACCACUGUUCCACUGAGGCAAAACUCUGAAUGGACCUUAAUGAGCAGCAG